ACAACAUAAUAUCACGGAGCGCAGUCGUGUUUCAUUUGUUUUUCGAGGGCGGCAAAGAUGGCGACAGUAGAUUGGAGAAACAGCAAUUGUUAAAAGAACGUCGUAUUUUAUUUUUGGACUCUUUAAGACCUUGUGAGUGCUGUAUUAUUACGUGUGGACGUAUUUUGGUGCUAAUCUCACAACGAAGACGCUGUCUGCUGGCGUUUCAGAGGAACGUUCUAACGUCAUCAUCAGAGUCGAUGAUUGGGCUACACAAGCAAGCAGCAAGGAACAAUCUUCUAUUGGCUAGCACCCAGUUCCUCUGCUCACCCAAUUACGACACGCUGCCUAAUGCGAGACCUGGAUCCCGCUGGACCCAGAACCAAGAUUGACUGUACUGUGGGAAAUGUCUGUAGCGUAAAGCAGUUCAGCCUUGGUGGCAAACGUUUUGCUGAUGACGCAGAGGUUGAAACAGAGGUGCGCAAGUGGCUAAGACAACAGUCAGAAGACUUCUAUGCUGCGCAUUUCAACAUACUGGUAAAGCAAUCGGACAAGUGUAUCAAUGUUGGUGAGGGAUAUGUCAAGAAAUAAAUGUUUUUUCCAGGUUUGAAUACAACACGUUUUAUGCUUUGUAUGCAUUUGUUACCUGUUUACUGCCUCUCCCUUGAAUCUAAACUGUAAACUUGGCAUUACAACAUACACAUAUUGCAUUAAAUAAGCUCUGCUGCUGAUGCUUCUCUGACCCUAUAUCUACUUAAGACAAAAAGACAAUUCAAUCAAAUAUGGGGAAACCCCUAUAUAACAAAAUCUCUGGGGGUAAUGGCCUUCUUUAACAAAAAUCAAGGUUAUACUGAAGCGGGAUUACAUUAUGUUACACCAGGAAACUGUUAUGUAAUUCCAUGUGGCACAGCCCUUGGGAAACUGAUCAGUCAGUAAACUCGUCACAAAAUUCUCCCGUUUCUUCACCGCAAAAGAUUCUUAAAAGCGGAAGCCAAGAAACACAUCAUUCUA